AGAGUUUGAUCAUGGCUCAGAUUGAACGCUGGCGGAAUGCUUACACAUGCAAGUCGAACGGUAGAGGGGGCAACCCCUCGAGAGUGGCGAACGGGUGAGUAAUAUAUCGGAACGUGCCCAGUCGUGGGGGAUAACGUAGCGAAAGUUACGCCAAUACCGCAUACGAUCUAAGGAUGAAAGCGGGGGAUCGCAAGACCUCGCGCGAUUGGAGCGGCCGAUAUCAGAUUAGGUAGUUGGUGGGGUAAAGGCUCACCAAGCCAACGAUCUGUAGCUGGUCUGAGAGGACGACCAGCCACACUGGAACUGAGACACGGUCCAGACUCCUACGGGAGGCAGCAGUGGGGAAUUUUGGACAAUGGACGCAAGUCUGAUCCAGCCAUUCCGCGUGCAGGAUGAAGGCCCUCGGGUUGUAAACUGCUUUUGUACGGAACGAAAAGGUUUCUAUUAAUACUAGGAGCUCAUGACGGUACCGUAAGAAUAAGCACCGGCUAACUACGUGCCAGCAGCCGCGGUAAUACGUAGGGUGCAAGCGUUAAUCGGAAUUACUGGGCGUAAAGCGUGCGCAGGCGGUUAUGUAAGACAGAGGUGAAAUCCCCGGGCUCAACCUGGGAACUGCCUUUGUGACUGCAUAGCUAGAGUACGGUAGAGGGGGAUGGAAUUCCGCGUGUAGCAGUGAAAUGCGUAGAUAUGCGGAGGAACACCGAUGGCGAAGGCAAUCCCCUGGACCUGUACUGACGCUCAUGCACGAAAGCGUGGGGAGCAAACAGGAUUAGAUACCCUGGUAGUCCACGCCCUAAACGAUGUCAACUGGUUGUUGGGUCUUCACUGACUCAGUAACGAAGCUAACGCGUGAAGUUGACCGCCUGGGG
rnacentral:rRNA from 1 species